rnacentral:piRNA from 1 species
UACCGUGCUGCCUGUCCUUCCAACCCAACU